rnacentral:lncRNA from 1 species
CUUGGAGAGAAAUAGUCAGCAUCACCAGGAUGAAAUAUAUUUUUUUUAGAUUUUAACAAUUUUUAUGUAGUUUGCUAUAUAUUAUGAUAUAUUGAAUAGUCAGUGAAAUGAAUAUGUAAAUUAUUAAGUCCCUUAAAGAUUUCUGACUAAAAAAUUCACCUAAAUCUAUUCUUAAAUUAAUUUCUGGCAUUGUUCCUAAUAUAUCUUUUAUAUGUCUCUUUGUGAGCAGUUAAUUGCUGCUAUCACCCCUUUCCUCUCAGUGAAGUGGAUAUUAUGAACUUCAGUACAAUCAAUAUCUAGAAAUAGAAAAAAACUGCAAAGCUGUCCCAAGACAAAUGUGUGCAUGGACAAAGUAAUUCAUUGUGAAUGGCGCAUUGCUACAGUAAGGAAGUGAAGGACGACAUCAGACCAACUGAUCUGUUCUGCUGCAUCUCCUGGCCACUGAACUCCCACUGUCUGCACCAAGUACAGGACCAGCUGCUGUGCUACCUCAUCAGACUGCAGCAGACAGCAAACAAGGAAGUGGGCAAAUUUGCCAUUUAUAUGGAUAGCUUUGCAAGGCAACCUAGCUCCUUCAAAAAGAGUAUGACAGAUGGCAGCAGAGGGACAGUCUGACAAGAUUGUGUUUGAUAUGGAAGUGAGCAUGAAGUAAAGGUCCAUAACUGAAUUUCUCCGUGCAGAAAAAAAUUCACCUGCUGUCAUUCAUAGAUACUUGCUAUGCGUUUGUGGAGACCAAGGAGUGGACAUUAGCAAAGUGAGGUGGUCGGUGGUGCAUUUCAGCAGUGACAACAGCGAUGUGAAAAGCAAGCCAUGCUCCAGACUUCUAUACACAGCUAUGACAACACGAAAUGGAGAACAUCUUGAUCAGCUCAUUCACACAAAUUCUUGGAUUACAACUAGGGGAACUUUAUACAGAACUGAAUAUAUACUACAGUGCAUCGGAAAGAGUGAUGGCAACACUGAAAUAUUGCACACGUUGUGCCACCUUGGUCCCAUAAAUUCUCAUACAGAAGAAGCAAGUUUUUCAGGACCUACUGAACCAAUAUGAAGCUGAAGGUGAGAGUUUCCUGGAUCACAUGAUUACUGGCGGCGAGACUUGGUGCCAUUGUGAUGAGCCGGAAUCAAAAUGGCAGUCCACGGAGUGAUUACGUAUGAGUUCCUCAUCGAAGAAGAAAUUCAAGCUGCAGUCUUCAGCAGUUCAUGAAUGUGUGCAUCACAGACCACAAACCUGUAAAAUGAUGUCCUCCAGGAGGCAAAGAGAAGGGAGAAGGGAGUUUUCAGAAUGUGAGAAAGAAAGAACUUGGACAAAUAGAGGACUCCAAUCAUUUUUAUCUCCUUCAAUCUAUAUUAUGUUAGAGCUGCUGUUUUAUGAAUGUUUCAGCUGCCUCAGAAAUAGAGUCUAAGUUAUGAGCUACUUGUAUUCUUAAUGAUAUCUUGUGUAUAAGGCUUGCUAAAGAUGCUUCACCUGAGAUGAAGAUUCACAGGAUUUUGGAAAGCAGUGGUACUUUGUGGACAAACCAGUCUCUGGUGACGGAGAUCACAGGUGGAGUGCUGCUGCAGUGGCUCCUGAAAACUUCAUCUUUCUUUGGAGUGAAUUGGAGGCAAGGUGAUGAAAAAGGCAAGAGCUGCAUUUGAAUGAGAGAUCGAUCACAGAGACUGAAAGUGACAGCCCUAUCACAUUUGUUUGUGGACUUUGGAGACAGACAGAAAGGAUGAGCAAUUGACAAGGAGUAUGCUGAAUGAGUAGAAGCAGCUGAAACCCUACGGUUGGUAAGGAAUUUAUGUAAAUAUUGCAAUUAAAUCUUGUCUGUAAUAAUAGGUGACCUUUAAUCUAGUUUAUAUUAAGUCCCCUAAUCUCUCAGAUUCUAAUUGAGUGAUGAAGAUGCAAGGCUUCAUGAAAGGAAAGCAGAUCACAAGAAAAUAAUGAUUUUUUUGUGUAAACCAUGAUUUUCCAAUUACUCCUCUCAGCUGGGACAGAAAAAACAUCUAACUUGUGAUAUGUUCUGAUCCAAAAUUAAUCCUUUUGUAACUGUGUGUCUUUAGAUUAAAGGUUACUUUGGCUUUCUUCCAUGCAAAUUUUCAGCCCUUUUGGUAAUAUUAAUACUAGCUUUUUUUUCCCCCAAAACAUUAUUAAAACAUAUUGGUAAGUAAUGCUUUCAAUAAUGCAGAGAAAAACCCAGAUAAAUAAUAAUUAAAAUAGCAUGCAAGCUUUCUUUAUUCAACUUACGAGGUAAAUAUCCAUUUGUUAUAAUAAAUUCUUUUAAAAUAUGUGAAAACAGUUGUGGCAUAAGGAGGGAGUUACGGUUUUGACUACAUGAUGUGUGUAAAGCAAACUUGGGAUAAGAUUUGUGUGGCAAGAAAUUCCAGGCAAAUAUGGGUAGAGACAUUUGCUGCACCUUUGCAUCACAGAGAAGAAUCGCAAAAGAUUGGAUAUGCUUGCAGUGUCUGUGUAUGUGCCAUUAGGAUCAUGCAAGAAAGCUGUGAAGUGUCGCAGAGAUCUUGUUUGUACAGUGGUUUGAAAUGUAAUGAUAACAAGUGCUUUAUGCUGCACUAGGGUUACCUUUGUAUGUUAAAGGUGUAAUUUUUUCUGUUUCACAAGGAAGCUAAAUUCAGCCUCGCAGUGAAGACAAAGAGCUUGUAUUUCAUAUGGCAGAAACAGAAAUCAGCGCACAAGGGAAAGGUCACAUUUGGUGUGACAGUCUUGAAAAAGAAAAGGGUUUUGCAGAAGCCAAUCUGCGUAGGACACAGACAUAUUUGCCAAAACUAGAUAGGAGAGUACUUCGAAAUGUCAAAGAGAAGCACUGAAACUUCAGUUUGAACAGAUGAAGAUGGAUCCCAAGAAGAAUGUAAAAACAGGACUGUUCAGCUUAGACAUGAUGGCUAAAUUUGUGAUUUUCCUGUGAAAAUAGGAAUUUGAGAGAAAUCCUUGCAGAGUCCUUGAAGCUUCAGGAAAAGCAAGAGAGUAGACAAAAUAUCAAAAGGGAGAAGAUUUUAAGUAAAUGGUAGGCCAGUUGCUGUUUAAGAGGGCUGUUAGAUGGACAGGGAGCAGAUAAAGAAUACAUUCUCCACAUCUACUUCAAAGAGACCAUUAGAAAUUUUGAUUGGUUUCACUGGAGUGAAAGGGGUGGGUAUCUGGACUGAAAGAGAGAUCAGAAGAUAGAUUGUAAAUAAAAUCUUCAAUGAGUACAGAAAUGAGACAGAUAAGAAUUGGAAAAAAUAACUGAAAACUUGAGUGUAGCAAAGUGUGGGUUUUUGUUAAAGAUGAGUAAACGACAUUUUUCCUGUGGAGCAAAUGUGAAAGAGCUACAAGAAAGUAAAGAUUUAAAGAGAGGCUACUUUUUGCAGUUUUCCAUAUUGACAUUAUACAGAGAGAAACUGAAGCAGAAAUAAAGAAGCUAUCGAGAAAACAGUCAGAAGCUGUGGGAAGGUUAAUGGGUUUACAAGCAUGGGAUUAAAAAGAAGAGUUGUUAAUAUCUGUUUAGAAAAGUGGCAGAAACUAAAAAGAACGAAUCCCUAGUUUCUGCAGUAGUGAUGAGACUACUAAAGUAGUUGUGGGAAGUCAUUGACAGCGGAGUUCAAGAUGACAACAGGAGCUGAAUGACACAGACGUUGCUCCAGAAGGUGUGGGAAGAAGGAGACUCAUCUGCAGGAGAUGGCAGUUCAAUAGGCAGAGAUUGUGCUUGUUUGCUGAGUGAUUAAACUUCUUUUUUUCCCUAAAGCACUACAGAAAUGUUCCAUCAGGAAAUCUCCCUCAUGCAGAACAUGGUGCCUCUGUGAACACAGUCCAGAAGAGUUUGCUUACUUACUUGCACUUCUUAAUUACUUUUUUUCCUAAAAAUAGUCACUUUCAUACUCUCCAAUUCUUGUAGCUGUUUGCUAAAAAUAAAAGGACCUGAUGGUGAGUACAAGUUUCAUAAAUGCAAAUACAGCUUUGCAGUACAAAUUAAAAAUGUGGCUUGAAUUAAAAUCAUUGAUAGUUUGUAGGUUGUUCAUGUUGCUUUUGUAGACCCCUAAUCACUUGAGGUAUGUCUAAGCUUUUUGGCUGAUACUUAGUGCAUUCAAAUCAGCAAAUUAAUCUCUUGGGUACAGAGCAACUCAGUGUACCUUAAGUCACAGUGCAUAAAGUUACUUUUGUUGCUAUCUACAGAUUGUCUUGACAUGCAGCAUAUACCCACAGGUUCAGAAAAAUUGCCCUUUGAUUACAUGUACAAUAAUCUGGAUCUCCCAAGGUAUUCAAGUGGUUAAUUAAAUAUCAAGUAAUUGCUAAAACUACUAAGUGACAUUUAAUUAGUAUGUUAAUUGAUAUCAAAUUUGCUCUCACUAUCUUGUUUUAUGUUAAUAAAAUCCCUAAACAUUUCUUCGAAGUAGAUUAGGAAGCAAUGUGCUUCAAAUAUACUAAUUCAAAACAGCCUUAAGCAUUACUUCUGCUCACAGAACAUACUUUCUGACUUAAAUUUUUAUCACAGAUGUUUUAUUUUGUCUAUCUUUAAACUUACUUUUUGCUAAGAGUGCAUUAUAUCUAGUAGCGUAGACCUCUCUUGGAAUGGAUUUUAGCUUUUAUAAGCUCAUAAUCCCUUAGAAUUCUAUCUGAAGUGUGAUAACUGUUAAUAGAAGUCUAGGGCUGCGUCUCUCCCCUUUGGCACCUACCGAGUAGAGAUAGCCAGGUGCUAUGGGGACUGCAUAGUCCCUCCAGUUGGCUAAUGUGAAUGAUGUAUUUCUGUGCUGACAUCUGAUCUGGGGUUUAGAAAUCUGUGCUCCACACAUAAUACAAAACCACCAUAAAUGUAUUAAGUGCCUGAUUAUUCUGCAGCAGUGAAAUUUUGCCGUAGUGGUAGCUUGCAGGGUGUUCCCCUCCUCCUCUUCAUUAUCCUACCCAGGAAACAGCCCUGCUGUAGCUUUCACACUGAGCAUUCCAAAAUUCUCUUUGCUUUCCUUUGCUGAAGAGACCAACAGUGAUGUAGAAAAGAGAUGCCUUUAGGCUUGGGUCCAGAAAAGACUGGCUGGAGUCCAAGCUGACAAUAGCCCCAAGCCUGUCCUUCCUUUCAACCACCACAGUGCUCCCUGUGGCCUCAUCAGAAACAGGUGAGCAGUCCAAAGUUGAAGCUAGUAAGGAAGAGGUUGUUUUCACAAUGGUUAAUUUGAACACACACUGCAAAAUAUUUCCAUGAAUAUUCAUAUGAAUAUUUAAAUGAAUUCCUUUCAGCUGUGCUCAUGCCUUUUGUGUGUUAGUUUUCUGUGGAGUUCCUUUUCCGUUUUAUUGGUGCCAAUGCACAGAGAGAGUUGGUUUUACAUACAAGAUCACAAAAAGCAAAGUUUAAUUUAUUCUCCCUGAGCAUUCACACCCAAUUACUUCAGAAGAGUCCAACUGGGAAGUAGAAACAAUGGUGUAUGACCACACAUGACUGAACUGCAUAGCUCAGAUUCCAGUCCUUCCCAACUUCAAAAUCUAGGAUAUCCGUAUAAACUAUAAAAACACCAUAAACACUGCGAAGGGGAAGCAGGUUGAGGAGGGACUGUCAGAGAAUUUUAAAUUAUGAAUAAAGAAAAGUGUGAUCUGUUUAUUCAUGGAUAUGUCACAGAAAAAAAGACAGAAAAUUGGUAAAAUAAAUUAUUCAUUAAAAAGUAUUCAGCUGUAGUUAUGUGUCAUCCAAAUACUGUUAUAGAAUGAAGAAUACUGCAGAAUGAUAAUGAUAGGUGGAAGUUGACAGUGAUUUUCAACUUUUUUUGUUGAUUUAUUUGAACUUCUGUGCUUUCUUAUGUGUGGUGUAUCUAAAUUUCAUAGCUUCGCACAAUUUUUUGAAGUUUUCUGUUUCUCUGAACAUAUUAUAAUAAUCCACGUUUACUAAUACAAAAAGUUUGCUAUCGAUAGCAUGUUAUUUUAAAUCUUUUAUAAUACAAAGUGAAUUUGUUGCUGCUAUUUGUAUUUUAAGUAGCCUACCACUUGAUAAAGAAAAGUCAAAAUUGACACAUUUGUUAAAAAAUAAUCUUCAGAUAAACUUUUCGUAGGUAUAAGUAUUGGUACCCGAGCUUCCUUUCUACCUUCUCCAUUGGCACUCUCAACCAGUGUUAACAUGCCUAAAUGUCUGGUCAUGGUCCUUAUCACCAGCAAAGGUUCUCUAAACUCCCAAAAAUCUGCCUCCCAUCUCAUAUGAUUCAAUGCCCUGAGCCCAUCUUCAAGUCCAGUUCCAACUGGAGUCUCUGACCACCCUCUCCCUGCCUCCAUGUUUCCUGAGCACCAAAGGGAGGCAGUGCAUUGAAAUAUACCAUGCUUCUUCCCUUUCAUAUGAAGCAGUUCCAAGUCACGUUCAAAUCAUUAAGCAAAUGACUGUAUUCUGAAUGCCCCAUAGGAAUUCAGUGGAAACUACUGCCUGACACAAAAUCAAGAUGCAGCUUAUCAGCCGCUUACUGCAACACAGCAGCUCUGCUCCCACUGCACCACUGGGAACGCCAAAACAAAUCCCACUGAUCUAUGUGAUGGGUAGUCCAUUGCCUUCAGGCAUGAAUCUUAAGCUCUUACCUCAUUAUGGCAAGAUGCACAGGUAGCAAUGUGCAGAUAGUGUCAGGACCUUCUUGCUCCCUCACUGGCCAGAUCUAUGGCUACUGUUCUUCACCCUUCAAUUAUUUUACAGUUGUGAUUUUUCCAUGCUAAUAAUUUCCAAACCUUAUUGGAUCCUUUUUACCUCUACAUGCAGUCAUGCUAUCUAGUCAUUCAAAACUGAAUUAAUUAAUGCUUUAUUUUUAUGGUUUAUGUACAUCCUUAAGGAUAUCAAAAGAAAGAAGUAUGUUGGCAUGAAAACCUGGUACCAAAAGGACAUUUACAUUCCCUGACUGGCAGAGGUAGAAGUUCUUCCAUUCUCAUUUCAUUAUACUAUCCUUGGCAGAAUAACAUAAGCUUGAGAUCAACCUGUUUACUUCCUUAGAGAUUUUCUUAUUCUUUUUUUUUUUUUUUUUUCUGUAGAAAACAGCAAGUCUUGUGAUAAGGACUGAAGUAUAACAAAUGUCUUUCUUAUUUAUAAGUUUCCAGUUGCUUUAUGUACAGUUUGAAGCAGUUCUUGCAAACUAAACUACAUAGCUUGAAGUAGAAUGGUGAUUUGGACUGUAAAUACUCCAGCACUGGAGUUAGUGCUUUACAGCAUUGUUUUUUUUUUUUUUCUUUCAAACUAGAAGAGUGACCAGUACUCACUAAAAGCUUUGCUAGUAGUUUCAUAAUUUUCUGUAUGGCUAACAUAAUUUCAGUUGUUUCAAUUUUAUUUUUUCAGAUGCGAAAUACAUUGCAGAUCAUUCAACUAAUUAAGAAGGGGUUCAUUUUCUUUUAAGUCCAGUAAGGUAAGAAAACAUUUGACAUUGGUUUAUAAAUGAUUAAAGUUUUCUUGGCAUAUCCUACAUUUGCGUGUUGUGAAUAAUAUUUCAUGUUUCAUGAAGUUUUCAGAUACCAAAGUAGUGUAUUUUGUAUGCACGUUGUCUGUGCACACAUUUCUGAUUCUUGGUUUAUUUCAAUGAACUCAGUUUUUAUAAUGAAUGCAUCUACUAACUGUGAAAAUCUACUUAUCACAUCUACCCACAUGAAUAAGAACAGCAACCUCUCCAUGUAUUUAAAUAUAUGUACACAACAACUUAGGCCUGAAAACUUUCAAAGGUGGUAGAGUGGGAGUCUUCAAGUGGGAAUCUGUCCGAAUCAGGCUCAGAGGUCGUUUGUUUGAGAUCCUGUGUGUGAUCAUUGCUGUUACCACUUUGCAGGCUGCUCUUGGGGAGCAGGGUCCAUGUGACACCCCUCUUUAUUAAAUCCCCAGUAGGUAUAAGCACUGCUUAAAUAUGCUGUGAAAGAUGGUCCUGAAAGAUGG